rnacentral:misc_RNA from 1 species
UACAUAAGGGGCAAGCGUUAUCCGGAAUCAUUGGGCGUAAAGCGCGCGUAGGCGGUCUAGUAAGCAGGAGGUUUAAUCCAUGGGCUCAACCCAUGGGCUGUCUCCUGAACUGCUGGACUAGAGUGCUAGAGGGGCAAGUGGAAUUCCUGAAGUAGCGGUGAAAUGCGUAGAUAUCAGGGAGAACACCAGUGGCGAAGGCGACUUGCUGGCUAGCAACUGACGCUGAGGUGCGAAAGCGUGGGGAGCGAACAGG